rnacentral:lncRNA from 1 species
GCUUUCAUUAAUCUUCCUUCAGCCUACCUUCCAUGCUUGCUUCUGACCGAGGAGGAGGAGGGGAUGUAUGUUAUAUGAAUACAGGAUAUACUUUACUUUGUUUCACAAGCAGUUCUCCGUGGAAAAAGUUACUGGAUUCCAGUGUUUAUGAAACUCGGUGCUUGAGAACUGAUCAACAUAGAUGGAUGACUAAUAAGUGAGGUUGAUAUUUGGAGAAGAAACACUAAACUGGGAGCUGGAUGGGAGACGAAGACUUAAGGACCUGUAUUCCAUAUUGCUAGAUGAGGACAGAAGAAUAUUCUUUAGAAACCAAACUAACAUGGCAAGUUUAACAUUCUUUUAGAAAAAUUGUGACCUUUCCAGGAUGUUCCAUUGAUGGACAUCCAGGUGGGUACCUUUUUUUUUUUUUCAGGUGGUUACCUUCACUACCAUAUGACACUAAUUCUCAAGAUGGUUUGCAGACAAUAACCAGAAUUUUUCUCAGGAAGAGUUUUUGGUCAACAUAAACAAAUAUACCUUUGAAAUUCCAAUG